rnacentral:lncRNA from 1 species
AAGUACCCCCUGCUCUUGGGACCGCAAUGUGCUCUGUGAAUGUUGAGCAUACUUGGGGGGCUUUGCCGAGGUCUGGCAUGGAUCACAGAUGAGGAGACCCCAGUUCUAGGGCUGAGAAGGGACCUUUUGUUGUUGUUCAGUUGCGUCCAACUUUUGUGGCCCCAUUUGGGGUUUUCUUGGCAAAGAUACUGAACUGGUUUGCCACUUCCUUCUCCAAUGGAUUAGGGCAACCAGAGGGGAAGUGAGCUGUCCAGGGUCACACAGUUAGGAAGUGUCUGAGGCUGGAUUUGAACUCAGGUCUUCCUGACUCCAGGCCCAGCACUCUAUCCAUAGAGCUGUCCAGCUCAGAGGUCACCUAGUCAGGUAAACUGAGGCAGCCUGUGACUCAACCUGGAAUUGUCAGAGGGUAGGAUCCCAGGUGCCCUGACUCCAGACCCAGGGGGCUUCCCCCUGGGAGUUCCUGGAGUAGACAGGAUUCAGACGUGGCUGUGGACUUCACGCGGGACAGGUGGCAGCAGAUGGAGCUGUACCGCCAGCUGAUUCUGGAGACUCACAGGAACGUCUCCUGCCCGGGACUGGCAGUCUCCAAGCCCCCUGUGAUCUUCCGGUUGGAGCGAGGGGAAGCACCUUGGACACCCGCAGGAGCCAGCCCAGGGAACCCCUGCGCAGGUGAGUGAGAAGCCCUGGCCUGUUCCCUUCGGGCAGAGCGAUGACAAGAGCUCUCGU